AUUAAGGUGGCAGAGACCGGAUUAAUGCAAAAGGCCUAAGCCCUUUUUACAGAGGUUCAAGUCCUCUCCUUAAUA
rnacentral:tRNA from 1 species